GCUCGGUGGUCUAGUGUUUAGAGCGUCCGCCUCGGAUGCAGGAGGUUGUGGGUUCGAACCCCAUCCGAAUCA